rnacentral:rRNA from 1 species
CUGCAAACACAGAUCAAAUGGGACGACCCGCUGAAUUUAGGCAUGUUAUUAAAUGGAGGAAAAGAAACUAACCAGAAUUCCCUCAGUAACGGCGAGUGAAGAUGAAAGUGCCCAGCGCAGAAUCCCUGCCUGGUGGCGGGUGCGGGAAAUGUGGCGUACAGAAGACCGACUGAUCCAGGCUCAUGCUACGGAUGGCGUUAGAGCAGUAGCAGCCCCCAGCGUGCCGGACUCUGAACUUCUCAGAGUGGGGUUUCUUUGGAAUGCAGCCCAAAGCAGGCGGUAAACUUCAUCUGAAGCUAAAUCCAUGCACAAGACCGAUAGAUAACACGUUAUGUAAGGGAAACGUUAAAAAUAACUUUCACGAUAGGGCUCAAGAAGGCAUGAAACCGUUGAAAGGUUAACGUGUAGGCAUGGAGGAUUAAACACAGUAGGAAGGUCAGCCACCUAGAAUGGCUGAACCCCUUGUGUGACUGCAACCUGGGUGCACCUUGCUCCCGCAGGGUGCAUUACAACCACCUCUGGAUUGGGUGGAAAGGCCCCAGGUGGAAGGUGGCUUUCCACUCUGGCAGCGUGUUACAUAUCCCUGGCAGCAGUGUCUGUGAGGCCGAGGGAGAUUGGCCACCACUGCGCCCUCCUCGGGCAACCGUUCCACCCCUCUCGAGGGUCACCAGGGCAUCAAAUGGGGUAGACUGUUCUCAGUGUGCACUGAACACACCACGCCACUGGGUAGAGAGCCUCACAUACCCAACCCAUCUUGAAAUCAUGACUAAGGAGGCUAACAAGUGCGUAAAUCGGUGGGCGGAUGAAACCCUGUGCCAAUGAAGGUGAGGGCUGGCACACGCUGGCUGAGGUUUGAUGACAUUGCAGAGUCACGGCAGGGGUGCCACAUGGUCAUCUCACCCACUCUAUCGGGGUGGUGGAGCAUGAACGUGUGUGAUAGGACCUGAAAGAUGGUGCACUAUGCCUGGGAAGGGAAAAGCCAGAGGAAACUCCGGUGGAGGUCCAUAGUCACCUAGGAAUAGUGGCAAAAGACUAAUCAAACCACCUGGCAGCUGGAUCCCUCCAAAUGUUUCCCUCAGGAUAGCUGCUGGUCAGAAACCCCAGGUUUAUAUGGUAAAGCAAAUGAUUGGAGUUGCCGAAAUUAUCUCAACCUAGUCUCAAACUUUAAAUGGUUAAAUGGUUACGUAGCCUGGCUCUCUGGUGUGGAGCCAGGCAUCAAAUGUGAGUGCCCAGUUGGUCACUUUUGGUGAGCAGAACUGGCCCUGCUGGAUGAAAUGCAUGCCAUGUUAAGGCACCCAAUGCCAAUGCUCAUCAGACCCCUGAAAAUGUGUUGGUUGAUAUAGACAGGGAAAGGAUGACCAUGGAAGUCAGAAUCUGCUAAGGAGUGUGUUUCAACUCACCGUCUGAAUCUACUAGCUCUGAAAAUGGAUGGUGCUGGAUUUGCAGGUCCAUACCCGGCCAUCGCCGGCACUGAGAGCAGUGGGGGCCAAGCCACUAAGAGUGGGAGAGCCGCUGUGUUGCACAUAGAAGCAAUGGGAGGGGCCUGACUGGAGCCACCACAGGUGUAGAUCUUGCUGGUAGCAGCAAAUAUUCAAAGGAAAUAAUAGAAGGCUGAAGUGGAGAAGAGUUCAAUGUGAACAGCAGUUGAACAUGGGUGAAUCUGUCCUAAGAGAUGGGCAAGCACCAUUCAGAAGGGACAGGUUACCUGUUACCCUCAGCUGAUCCAAACGGAGUCUGGUUCAGAUUCCUGAACCCUGAAUGGUGAAGACAGGUGCCCUCGUGGUGUCCAGUGCGGUAACACAAACGAUUCCUGUGAAGCCAGCAGGAUCCCUUGGGAGAGUUCUCUCUUCUUUGUGAAAGCAGGUAACCCUGCAACGUGUUUGUCUUGAGAGGAGGAUCUGAGACUUGGAAAGCGUGAUGGUCCCCAUGGCUUCUGGUGAGCUCUUGCUCAUCCUUGGAAAUCCGGGGAAGAUGGUGUAAAUCUCAUGCGGCACAUACCAAUAACCGCAUUAGAUCUCCUAGGUGAACAGCCUCUGGCAUGUUACAACAAUAUAGGUAAGGGAAGUCAGAUCUGUAACUUCAGGAUAAGGAUUGGCUCUAAGGGCUCUUUCGGUCAGAUUUGGGUGUGAAGCGGUUCUGGGCACGCACUGCGGCUGGACGAGGUGUCUCCACACAGGGGGGCAGUGCCAAUUCCAGAUGCGAGGCAGACACUUCCUGUGGAUCGACCCUGCUGCGGUGGUUGCCUCUCUCUGUUCCCCUCCCGGGGUUUGAAGUCAGCAUUCUCCUCAGCCGAUGCCUAGCAGCUGACCUGGGAAAUCUGAUUGUGAGGAAUUUGACUGUUUAAUUUAAAAAUGCAUUGUGAAGGCAGUGGCGGGUGUUUAUGCAAUGUGAUUUUUUGCCCAGUUCUCUAAAUGUCAAAGCUUGGGUAAACGGAGGGAGUAACUAUGACCCUGAUAAGGUAGCCAAAUGCCUUGUAAUCUAAUUAGUGAUGCAUAAAUGAGAUUCCAAAUGUCCUUACUGACUAUAUAGAGACACCACAGCUAAGGGAAUGGGCUUGGCAGUAUCAGCCGGGGAAAGAAUACUGUGUUGAGCUUGACUAUAGUCUGGCACUGUGAAGAGGCAUGAUAGGUGUAGGAUAAGUGGGAGGCCCUCAGUUGGCCAGUAAAAUACAACUAUUCAUCAUUUUUUCACUUACCCGGAGUGACAGGGUGAGCACCAUGGGGCUCUCGCUUCUGGCUCCAAGUGCCUGUCACCCACUCGGCAUGACCCUCUCGGGGACAGUGGCAGGUGGGGAGUUUGACUGGGCUGGUACACCUGUCAAAAUUGUAGAGGCAGGUGUCAUGCGGCGAGCUCAGGGAGGACAGAAUCAUCCUGCAAAGUAGAAGGGCAAAAGCAAGCUUGAUCUCAAUUUUCAGUAUGAAUACAGAACAUAAUGUGACCCCUCAGCUGGACCCAACCGGCUAUCUGCAGUCAGACCAGAUGACCCAUGUGCUGCCCCUGCCCUUGGGUGCCCUAGACAUCUUUUAAGAGC